GACGUAGGGGGCCAGCGUUGUCCGGAUUUACUGGGCGUAAAGAGCGCGCAGGCGGUCGUUCAAGUCGAGUGUGAAAGCCCCCGGCUCAACUGGGGAGGGUCACUCGAUACUGAUCGACUUGAAGGCAGGAGAGGGAAGCGGAAUUCCCGGUGUAGUGGUGAAAUGCGUAGAUAUCGGGAGGAACACCAGUGGCGAAGGCGGCUUCCUGGCCUGUUCUUGACGCUGAGGCGCGAAAGCUAGGGGAGCAAACGGG
rnacentral:rRNA from 1 species